GUGCUCACUUUGGCAGCACAUACACUAAAAUUGGAAUCAUACAGAGAAGAUUAGCAUGGCCCCUGCACAAGGAUGAUGCAAAUUCAUGAAGCAUUCCGUAUUUUU
ensembl:snRNA U6 U6 spliceosomal RNA